rnacentral:rRNA from 1 species
UGCCAGCAGCCGCGGUAAUACGUAGGGGGCGAGCGUUAUCCGGAUUCAUUGGGCGUAAAGCGCGCGUAGGCGGCCCGGCAGGCAGGGGGUCAAAUGGCGGGGCUCAACCCCGUCCCGCCCCCUGAACCGCCGGGCUCGGGUCCGGUAGGGGAGGGUGGAACACCCGGUGUAGCGGUGGAAUGCGCAGAUAUCGGGUGGAACACCGGUGGCGAAGGCGGCCCUCUGGGCCGAGACCGACGCUGAGGCGCGAAAGCUGGGGGAGCGAACAGGAUUAGAUA